rnacentral:rRNA from 1 species
CCUACGGGCGGCAGCAGUGAGGAAUAUUGGUCAAUGGGCGCGAGCCUGAACCAGCCAAGUCGCGUGAGGGAAGACGGCCCUACGGGUUGUAAACCUCUUUUCCGGGGAACAACGGGCGCCACGUGUGGCGCCACUGAGAGUACCCGGAGAAAAAGCAUCGGCUAACUCCGUGCCAGCCGCCGCGGUAAUCCGGAGGAUGCGAGCGUUAUCCGGUUUUAUUGGGUUUAAAGGGGGCGUAGGCGGAGCGUUAAGCCAGUGGUCAAAUUGCGGGGCUCAACCGCUUCCCGCCAUUGAAACUGGCGCUCUUGAGUGGAAGAGAAGUAUGCGGAAUGCGUGGUGUAGCGGUGAAAUGCAUAGAUAUCACGAAGAACCCCGAUUGCGAAGGCAGCAUGCCGGCGUCCUACUGACGCUGAAGCACGAAAGCGUGGGGAUCGAACAGGAUUAGAUACCCCUGUAGUC